rnacentral:rRNA from 1 species
GACGAACGCUGGCGGCGUGCUUAACACAUGCAAGUCGAACGGAAAGGCCCUGCUCUUGUGGGGUGCUCGUGUGGCGAACGGGUGUGUAACACGUGUGUCAUCUGCCCUUGACUUUGGGAUAUCUUCAGGAAACUGGGGCUAAUACCGGAUAGGAGCUCCUGCUGCAUGGUGGGGGGUGGAAAUUUUCGGCGGUGGGGGGUGGACUCGCGGCUUAUCAGCUUGUUGGUGGGGUAGUGGCUCACCAAGGCUUUGACGGGUAGCGGGCUUGGGAGGUUGACCGGCAACAUGGGACCGGGAUACGGGCCAGGCUCCCUCCGGAGGCAGGAGUGGGGAAUAAUGGACAAUGGGUCGGAGGCCGGUGCAGGCACGGCGGCGGGGGGGAUGACGGCCUUCGGUUUGAAACCGGUUUCCGCCUGUGACGAGCCGUGUGUGACGGUAGUGGGUAAAGAAGCACCGGCUAACUACGUG